CUCAAAACAAAACAACAACAACAAACCCUCUCCUCUCCUCAGCUCAGAUGAGACAAAAAGCUAACCUAUCUGCCUGAAGGGACUAUGUUGCCGCUGGCCCCAAGAGGACAAGAGCCCAGAGAGAGAAAACCGGUUGCAAAAAAGAAGAGUCAGAAGAGCGUUCUGCAUCAAGGGAAGCCACAAUUGAAGAGUGAAAGAGAAAGAAAAACAUUUCAGACAGCUGACUGAGGUAGGCUGCCUCUCACGGUUCACAGAAAAAACUCUCUUCCCUAAAAGAAAAAUGGCCCAAGACGUGCAAGAAGCGAUG
rnacentral:lncRNA from 1 species